rnacentral:rRNA from 1 species
AACGAACGCUGGCGGCGUGGAUUAGGCAUGCAAGUCGAACGCGAAAGAGGGGGAAACCCCUUUAGUAGAGUGGCGAACGGGUGAGUAACGCGUGAAGAACCUGCCUUCAACAGGGGGAUAACACUCCCAACGGGGUGCUAAUACCGCAUGAGACCACGGAGCUGCAUGGCUCUGAGGUCAAAGGUGGCCUCUAUUUAUAAGCUACCGGUUGAAGAUGGCUUCGCGUCCCAUUAGCAGUUGGCGGUGUAAAAGACCACCAAGGCGACGAUGGGUAGCUGGUCUGAGAGGAUGACCAGCCACAUUGGGACUGAGACACGGCCCAGACUCCUACGGGAGGCAGCAGUGGGGAAUCUUGCGCAAUGGGCGAAAGCCUGACGCAGCGACGCCGCGUGUGGGAUGAAGGUCUUCGGAUUGUAAACCACUGUCGGGAGGGACGAAUGCCCUGCAAGGGGAGUGACGGUACCUCC